rnacentral:rRNA from 1 species
CCCAGACUCCUACGGGAGGCAGCAGUGGGGAAUAUUGGACAAUGGGGGGAACCCUGAUCCAGCGACGCCGCGUGAGUGAAGAAGUAUUUCGGUAUGUAAAGCUCUCUCAGCAGGGAAGAAAGAAAUGACGGUACCUGACUAAGAAGCCCCGGCUAACUACGUGCCAGCAGCCGCGGUAAUACGUAGGGGGCAAGCGUUCUCCGGAUUUACUGGGUGUAAAGGGAGCGUAGACGGCGAUGCAAGUCUGAAGUGAAAGGCGGGGGCCCAACCCCCGGACCGCUUUGGAAACGGUAUGGCUGGAGUGCAGGAGAGGUAAGUGGAAUUCCUAGUGUAGCGGUGAAAUGCGU